UACGUAGGGGGCGAGCGUUGUCCGGAUUUAUUGGGCGUAAAGAGCUCGUAGGCGGUUUGGUAAGUUGGAUGUGAAAUCUCCAGGCUCAACUUGGAGGGGUCAUUCGAUACUGCCAUGACUAGAGGUAGGUAGGGGAGAAUGGAAUUCCCGGUGUAGCGGUGAAAUGCGCAGAUAUCGGGAGGAACACCGGUGGCGAAGGCGGUUCUCUGGGCCUUACCUGACGCUGAGGAGCGAAAGCGUGGGGAGCGAACA
rnacentral:rRNA from 1 species